UGGGGAAUAUUAGGACAAUGGGCGAAAGCCUGAUCCAGCAAUGCCGCGUGAGUGAUGAAGGCCUUAGGGUUGUAAAGCUCUUUUACCCGGGAUGAUAAUGACAGUACCGGGAGAAUAAGCCCCGGCUAACUCCGUGCCAGCAGCCGCGGUAAUAAU
rnacentral:rRNA from 1 species